rnacentral:rRNA from 1 species
CAGCGUCACGAGUGGGAGUCGCGAUUAUUGGGCCUAAAGCGUCCGUAGCCGGUUUGAUAAAUCUUUAGUGAAAUCGGUCAGCUUAACUGAUCGGCGUGCUAGAGAGACUGUCAAACUAGGAACCGGGAGGAGUCAGAAGUAUAUUUGGGGGAGCGGUAAAAUGCAAUAAUCCCAAAUAGACUACCUGUGGCGAAGGCGUCUAACCAGAAUGGAUCCGACAGUGAGGGACGAAAGCGAGGGGAGCAAACAGGAUUAGAUACCCGAGUAGUCC